rnacentral:misc_RNA from 1 species
GAAAAAGGACAGGACAAUAUGAGAUCAAUAGAUGGUUGAAGGCUUAGGCUUUGCAACAAAUGCAGAGAAAUUGAAUAAAAUUUAAAGAAGGGAAAACAGUGAGGGUUUAGCUAUGAAUUAAGGAGAUAAUAAGUUCAAAAAGGGUAAGAAAAAUGAGAGAUAUUUUCAUAUCUAUCUCUCUCUGUCUCUAUUUGCUUCCAAGAAAAUUGAUGAAACAGUAGUAAAAAGAGAAACAAGAAUUUAGCAGAGAGCAGCAUACAUUACAGAAAGCUUUAUGUCUUCUACUAGGUCGACGUUCAUCCAAAACAUUUCUAAGUUUUUCAAGCAUUCCUUCUUCUGUGAAUAUCCGAUCUGGGGAGAUCAAGAAAGCACUUCUUCUAAUGGGAGGAGACCACAAUCCACUUUGCUCAUAAUCAAAAUCAAAUUCACUCACAUCAAAGAAUUUCUUGAGAAGUCUAUCCGAUACAGACUUAGACACCAUCUGAAUCUUUUGAGGAGAGGACUCAGGCAAAGGCAAUGAAGGAGAGGAAGAUGAAACUUGUUCAGAGGUAGACAUUUUCAAAACUCAAUAAAGAAAAAACAAGACAAUAGAAAGAGAAUAAAGACAU